AAGUUUGAUUAUGGCGUCAGGAUGAACGCUGGCGGCGUGCUUAACACAUGCAAGGUCGACGAAGCUCUUUGAUCGGAGGAUACGUCCAAAGUGAUGAGAUGACUUAGUGGCGGACGGGUGAGUAACGCGUGGGUAACCUGCCGUAUGCAGGGGGACAACAGUUGGAAACGACUGCUAAUACCGCAUAAGCGCACGGGAUUGCAUGAUCCAGUGUGAAAAAGAUUUAUCGGCAUACGAUGGACCCGCGUCUGAUUAGCUAGUUGGUGAGGUAACGGCCCACCAAGGCGACGAUCAGUAGCCGGCCUGAGAGGGUGAACGGCCACAUUGGGACUGAGACACGGCCCAAACUCCUACGGGAGGCAGCAGUGGGGAAUAUUGCACAAUGGGGGAAACCCUGAUGCCAGCGACGCCGCGUGAGUGAAGAAGUAUUUCGGUAUGUAAAGCUCUAUCAGCAGGGAAGAAAAUGACGGUACCUGACUAAGAAGCCCCGGCUAACUACGUGCCAGCAGCGGC
rnacentral:rRNA from 1 species